UAUGUCUCGGAAACACAUUUACCUGAAAAUAACAAAAAAAAAUCAAAGUCAACAUUAUAACAAGACAAAAUACACAGCUGUAUUGACCAACACCAUGAUUGGAUAAGUUUCCAGAUCGUCCAUUUGUUUUCUUCACAAACAAGCAAAGAUUGGGGCAAAAAAAGUCAAUAGAUUGCAGAAUCAAGAAAACAAGACAACCACAAGAAUACAAGAUUCUUCUAUCCAAAAGUCAUCAAGAACCAUUCCGAACAAUCUAACCUUGGAGAGUAAAUUAUCUUUG